CAGAGUCCACCAUGAAUUUUUUCGCUUGAAAGCGCAACAGAAACCUAAUGGAAACUCGAUAAAGCUUCACAUCUCUUAAUUUUGCGCAGGGUUUAAUUUUUCAAACAACAUCAGGUUGAUUUCUCAAUUUGGUGCGGUUAUUAGGGUUCAUCAGGUUGAUUUCUCAAUUUGGCGCGGUUAUUAGGGUUUGAUUUUACAAACUUCAUCAGGUUCUUCAUCCCUCUCAGUAUAGCACAUGUAGUUAGAUUGGUUGCAAUAAUGAUUAUUGGUAGAGGUUGCAUUCAUCAGAAGUUCUGCAACUGGUUCUAAGGUGAUGGCCUUUGCAUCUCAAUUGGUUAAGUUAUGUUAUAGCUUUACCUUGGAAUUAUGUUAAGUUUUUUUAUAUUUUUUGAGCCUUCUCAUUUGGUAUGUGACUGUGUAGCAUCCUGUCUCUAUGGAACUUGGUGGUAAAAUUCCAAUUGUAGGUUUUUGAAGUUACAGAUCUUGAUAAAGCUGCCGAGAUGACUAUUUUUGGUUGCUUUUGGACAAAUAGCCAAAUCUAUAGUGCAACACCUCCCCUUCUACUGCAUUUUCUGUGCUUAGGGCCUGCAGUGGUGUACUAAGAUUCGUCAUGGAAAGUGGUAACAAGGGUUGUUAGGUUGUUUGCUUAACUAUAGAGUUCUCUUGAUAUCUUGGUUACUUUGGAGCGUACACCUUAGUGAGAGGCAUGAUAGUCUCAAAGCAUUUUUUAUAUGUUUCUUUUGGUUUGGCAUCAGCUCUACAGUUUUAACAUUUCAAUUCUUGCCUGUCACACGUUGUCGGAACAUCGUCUAUUGGUUUAUCAAUUAGUUUAGCA